CUAGUAAAUUAGCACAUGCGAACUGUAUGCAAAUUCGAGCUGCGGGCAUGUGCCCCUCCUCCCUCCCAGCCCUUCAAGGACUUAGGACUAGGUAAAGAAGGAGCUGCUUGGAUCUUAACCAUACAGUACACCGAAAAAUGAAAAGCACGCUGGAGAAAACUCCCCGGGUGGACCUGGGUCAGCGCGAACCAAAGCGUCUGCUCGGGGCCGGCACUGUCAGCUCUGAACUCGGCUUGUUAAGAGAUCAAGGGCUUCGGCCGGCUCGCAGGCAAAGUGCCCGGGGAAGCGCGCGCAGGAGCUCCUUGGAGAGGCCGGGCGGGACAAGCGCGGACAAGACGGGAUGAAAGCGCAGCAGCGGAGGGGGCUGGAGACGCGGUGCAGAAACUCAAACGGAUCCCUGGAAGACGGAUGGGCUGGUGUCAAUGGCAGAUGGGUGCAAGUGAGAAACGAGAGUUCAAAAGAAGGAGAUGACGCAGCAGGGCGGUGUGUGUGGUGCCCGUCACCCCGCACCCCAUAUGCAAUUUAAAAUAAAAACAAAUCUAAACUGUAAAA